GUGCUCACUUUGGCAGCACAUAUACUAAAGUUGGAAAGAUUCGGAGAAGAUUAGCAUAGUCCCUCUUUGGGAAUGAGACACAAAUUCUUGAAGCAUUUCAUGUUUUA
ensembl:snRNA U6 U6 spliceosomal RNA